AGAGUUUGAUCCUGGCUCAGAUUGAACGCUGGCGGCAGGCCUAACACAUGCAAGUCGAGCGGGGACUUCGGUCCUAGCGGCGAACGGGUGAGGAAUGCUUGGGAAUCUGCCUGGUAGUGGGGGAUAACGUUCCGAAAGGAACGCUAAUACCGCAUACGUCCUACGGGAGAAAGGGGGGGAUCUUCGGACCUCUCGCUAUCAGAUGAGCCCAAGCGGGAUUAGCUAGUUGGUGAGGUAAAGGCUCACCAAGGCGACGAUCCCUAGCUGGUCUGAGAGGAUGAUCAGCCACACUGGAACUGAGACACGGUCCAGACUCCUACGGGAGGCAGCAGUGGGGAAUAUUGGACAAUGGGCGAAAGCCUGAUCCAGCCAUGCCGCGUGUGUGAAGAAGGCCUUCGGGUUGUAAAGCACUUUAAGCGAGGAGGAAGGUCCGUCACCUAAUACGUGACGGAAUUGACGUUACUCGCAGAUAAGCACCGGCUAACUCUGUGCCAGCAGCCGCGGUAAUACGAAGGGUGCAAGCCGUUAAUCGGGAAUUACUGGGCGUAAAGCGCGCGUAGGCGGUUGUGUAAGUUGGAUGUGAAAUCCCCGGGCUUAACCUGGGCACUGCAUUCAAAACUGCACGGCUAGAGUAUUGGAGAGGAAGGUAGAAUUCCAGGUGUAGCGGUGAAAUGC
rnacentral:rRNA from 1 species